rnacentral:rRNA from 1 species
GACGAACCGAGCGAACGUUAUUCGGAAUCACUGGGCUUAAAGGGCGCGUAGGCGGGCCAUCAAGUCAGGGGUGAAAGCCCCCAGCUCAACUGGGGAAGUGCCUUUGAUACUGGUGGUCUCGAGGGGGAUAGGGGCAUGCGGAACUUCCGGUGGAGCGGUGAAAUGCGUAGAUAUCGGAAGGAACACCGGUGGCGAAAGCGGCGUGCUGGAUCCCUUCUGACGCUGAGGCGCGAAAGCCAGGGGAGCGAACAGG